GUGCUCCUUGCCGGGGUGGGGGUCGUUACCGAGUGGGAACUUCUGCAAAUCCUGACUUUUGUCAGUUCGCGCCCCGCACAAGAUGUCCUGCCGGCGGUGCGAUUGCUCCCGUUGCUUCGAGGGGAAACUGAGGCCAGUUAGUCCGGGCACUUACCCGCAGCUAGUUAAGGACUAGACUCUGAUGGGGACUCCUGUUAUGACCUCAAUGGCCUGUAGAAUCUUGGAGGCCGCCUCCGACCUAAGCCCAAAAAGCACAUGGUCGGGCUCACAGGAGGCGGCCAGAGGUGAAAACAGCCAACGCUUUACAACGACGCUGUGCGGGGCACUUCGUGUGUGUCAUCCCGUCUCAUCCUCGGGUGAUGGGAACCGUUCAUUCGGGAAAAUUGCAAACAACUAAAUACCCCUCACCAGGAGUUGGCCCAUUAUAGCAACUCUGAGACCUCUCUACCGCAGGCUCUUAAAAUGGGUUUUCAUCCCAACAGAAUUUUUCUAAGGAACUUGAUAUACAAAUUCUAUAAUUUACAUUGGAAGAAUGAAGAUAUAAGAAUAGUUUUUCUUUCUGCACAAAAAGGAUAAAGACAGAGCACUCACCAGAUACCAAGGCAUGCUACAAAGCCAUGUGGGUCUGUCCAAGCUUAACAGUGGAUGUAACUGCUUCUUUGCUGUGGCAGAUUGUAUUUUCUGAAGGCCCCAACAGUCUCUCCUAUCCCUCCUCCUCUUUUAGAACCUUGAUACUUCCCUAUGAAGAGGUAGGGUCUAAUACUCCCCUCCUUCAACCCGAAGCCCCGCCUUGGGCUUGGGACUUGCUUGUAACCAAUCAAAUACAGUGGAAGAGUUAGUAGGUGACUUCCAGGGCUAGGUCAGAAAAGGAUGCAGCCUCAGGGUUCAACACACACUUGGGCCUGGAGCCACCAUGCAAGAAGGCUGCCAUGCUGCGAGGGAGCAAAGGCACGUGGGGGGACAUACACAGGGGCUGUGGCUGGCAGUCCUGGCCUUUGAGUCAUCCUUGUUUAAGUGCCAGGCACACACGUUAACUACCUUUAGGUAAUGCCAUCCCUCAGAUGUCACGUCACCCCCAGCCCCUGAGCCUUCCCAUCUGAAGCCCCAGGCUUUAUGGAGAAGAAACAAGAUGUUCCUGCCACGCUCUUUCUGAACUGCUGACAUACAGAAUCCAUGACCAUAAUAAAACGGUUGUUUUGUGCCAUUA